GGCGGCCCGCGGCGGUUCGGAACGCACGGGGGAGAGCGGCGCCAAGCGAAAGCGGACCUAGGAGCAGAGAACGGGACGAAACUGCUGUGGAAGAUCAGGUGGAAUGCAUAGCUGCCCGCAUUUUACACACAGAAAAUGUUCCCGAGGAUCUCUGGGGUGAAACACUCUGCAGGCUUUCCUGCUGAAGAGAGGAAAAAGAAAGUGGAAGUAUAAUUCAAAAACUUUUCAUGGUUACUGACGUUGAGAAGGCGAGAACAGAAUAAAAGGAAAACAGGCUAGACUUUGAAUAUAGUUUGUUUUGUGUAUUUGACUUUGGAAACCUAUGUUUUCCAUUAUUAUAUGACAAAAAUUAAUUUUUAAAAAUC